UACAAGGGGGCAAGCGUUGUUCGGAAUUACUGGGCGUAAAGGGCGCGUAGGCGGCCUUCUAAGUCAGACGUGAAAUCCCUCGGCUCAACCGGGGAACUGCGUCUGAGACUGAAAGGCUUGAAUCCGGGAGAGGAAUGCGGAAUUCCAGGUGUAGCGGUGAAAUGCGUAGAUAUCUGGAGGAACACCGGUGGCGAAGGCGGCAUUCUGGACGGUGACUGACGCUGAGACGCGAAAGCGUGGGGAGCAAACAGG
rnacentral:rRNA from 1 species